CUAAUUUAAUAUAAAUCUAAUCUUUUCAAAUAUUCACAUAUAAUAUAAUCAUAAAUUCGAUUCGAAUUAAAAUACUCGUAAUUCAACAGCCUCGACAAUGACCAACGUUUAACCCCCAUUGACGGGAUUCACUGAAUACCAACGCACAACCCCCACUGGCAGGGUCCACUAAAUACCAGCGUACAACCCCCACUGGCAGGGUCCACUAAGUACCAACGAAUAAUCCCUAUUGGUGAGGCCCAU
rnacentral:lncRNA from 1 species